rnacentral:rRNA from 1 species
GACGAACGCUGGCGGCGUGCUUAACACAUGCAAGUCGAACGGAAAGGCCCUGCUUUUGUGGGGUGCUCGAGUGGCGAACGGGUGAGUAACACGUGAGUAACCUGCCCUUGACUUUGGGAUAACUUCAGGAAACUGGGGCUAAUACCGGAUAGGAGCUCCUGCUGCAUGGUGGGGGUUGGAAAGUUUCGGCGGUUGGGGAUGGACUCGCGGCUUAUCAGCUUGUUGGUGGGGUAGUGGCUUACCAAGGCUUUGACGGGUAGCCGGCCUGGGAGGGUGACCGGCCACAUUGGGACUGGGGUACGGCCCAGACUCCUACGGGAGGCAGCAGUGGGGAAUAUGGCACAAUGGGCGGAAGCCUGAUGCAGCAACGCCGCGUGCGGGAUGACGGCCUUCGGGUUGUAAACCGCUUUCGCCUGUGACGAAGCGUGAGUGACGGUAAUGGGUAAAGAAGCACCGGCUAACUACGU